rnacentral:rRNA from 1 species
CCUACGGGCGGCAGCCGUAGGGAAUUUUCGGCAAUGGGGGGAACCCUGACCGAGCAAGGCCGCGUGAACGAGGAAGUUAUUCGUAAUGUAAAGUUCUUUUAACAGGGAAGAAAGAGAAAUUUGACGGUACCUGAAGAAUAAGCUCCGGCUAACUACGUGCCAGCAGCCGCGGUAAUCCGUAGGGAGCGAGCGUGAUCCGGAAUUAUUGGGCGUAACGGGGGCGUAGAUGGCAUAGUAAGUCUUUUGUAAAAAGGCUGGGCUCAACCCAGUAGGGCAAAAGAUACUGCAAAGCUAGAGUAUGACAGAGGCAAGUGGAACUACAUGUGUAGCGGUAAAAUGCGUAAAUAUAUGUAAGAACACCAGUGGCGAAGGCGGCUUGCUGGGUCGAUACUGACAUUGAGGCACGAAAGCGUGGGGAGCAAACAGGAUUAGAUACCCGAGUAGUC